rnacentral:rRNA from 1 species
AAAAAAGUUACAAAGGGCGUACGGCGGAUGCCUAGGCUUUGAGAGGCGAUGAAGGACGUGAUAAGCUGCGAUAAGCUACGGGGAGCGGCACAUACGCAUUAAUCCGUAGAUUUCCGAAUGGGACAACCCGGCAUGUUGAAGGCAUGUCACCCAGCAAUGGGAGCGAACGUUGGGAACUGAAACAUCUAAGUACCAAUAGGAAAAGAAAUCAAUUGAGAUUCCGUAAGUAGUGGCGAGUGAACGC